ensembl:lncRNA
AGAUCUGAGCUAUAUAAGUCCUCUGGAUAUAAAGGACAGUGGAGUCAGUGGAGUGCAUUGGUGCAAUUGAGGACUGAUGCAAAGGAAGGUGGGAGAUAUCUGCUUUGGAGACAAACUAGUUAAAGCAUAUAACACUCUUACCUAUCUCCUCUUUGUUAUUGUCCCAAAAUAUGCUAUGGAGAAACCAUUGAGGCUGCGUUUAGACAGACCAAUUAGUGGGAAAAUUAUUUGAAUUUGGCUGCUUCUCUAAACACAGCCAUUGAUGCAUAUACUAUGUUUCUCCUUCAGCAGAACCAACUAUAGUCCUUGUCCUCAGCAAGUUUGUAUUUCCUGGUUGUGUGAUUGCUGGAGUUCUGUUGUUUGGAUUUUACAACCCCACUAUAAGAUUUUAUCUUCAUUCUAUGAUGUGCCAAGCCCAGCCCCUUUAUUCCAACCUCUCUACAAAGAUUAUAACAAACAUUUCCAGGACUGGCUUGAGUCAGAGUGCAAUCUGAUACCAACAUACAAACCAGAAGAGUUCCUGACCAUCGAUACUUUGAUUAUUGAGGCCAAACCUAUAGCAGAGGACCAGGACUGCUCAGCUUCAACACCAUAUCCCCUAGCACAAGUUCACACUCCCUAUGUUGGUCCCUCAGUGAUGGACUGGGUCUGCAGUCACAGUCCAAAUGGAAAUGGUCCAGGGGACAUCCCUUACACCCAGCUGCCCUGCUCUCCCCUAGAGCUCCAGUUUGGAGCGAUGGUCACCUCUUUCUCUCGGGACCCUUCGGUCUCCUGCGAGGGGGACUCUGGAUGCGAGGACUUAACACUCAGCCCAGACAGCAGCUUACCUAAUAGUCCUGUAUCUAGUGAGCCAGAAUGCACCUGUACUGAUUACUGUAUCCUACAUGAAACCUCUAAAGGUUUUAUCCCCACUGUUGUGUCCAAAGAGGUCUCUACUCAUCCCUUGAAGAGUUAUUGCAUAGAGGGACCAGGUAAGGAGGAAACCUGUGCCACUGAGUGAAGUUACCAAACGUUACAUCAUAUGCCAAUAGGACAGACAGCCUACCUCUUGGGUUGUGAAAAUGUACUGAGCAAGGGGUGUUCUAGUCUUUAUAAUUGCCUAAAUGACAUAAUGUUGUCUUACGAUCAUUUGCAGUUUCUUACUUGUAAUUCUGAUGUAGAAUUGUGUAUACUAUACUGUAAUGAAGUGUGUUUUGUCUGUUUGAAAUAAUGUACAUUUUUUAAUUACUAUAUCAAUUGUGUGAUAGCUUAAAUAGCUAUUUUGGACCAGUUCAUUUCAUAAUUUGUAUGCACUGAUGGCACUAGAGCCAUUGAUCCUUCAGUAUGUGAGAUAACCACCAGAGGACGCUGCGACUCAACACUUGCUACUAUCUAUAGGAGAAAUUGGCGAGGUGCAUUUUCUUGGAUGAACAAUUUCAGCUAUAUGUAAUAUUUCGAAAGUAGUUUAAUAAUCCUGUAAUUACUAUGUCCUUUAAUUUGUAUUGUAUUACAUACUUGUUCGCUAUUGUAAAUAAAUUAA